AGCAGCCGCGGUAAUUCCAGCUCCAAUAGCGUAUAUUAAAGUUGUUGCAGUUAAAAAGCUCGUAGUUGAAUUUCGGGGUCAGUAGGCUGGUCGUGCCACUGGUAUGCACUGGUCUCACUGAUUCCUCCUUCCUGAUGAACCGUAAUGCCAUUAAUUUGGUGUUGCGGGGAAUCUGGACUGUUACUUUGAAAAAUUAGAGUGUUUAAAGCAGGCUAACGCUUGAAUACAUUAGCAUGGAAUAAUGAAAUAGGACGAUCGAUCCUAUUUUGUUGGUUUCUAGGAUUGACGUAAUGAUUAAUAGGGAUAGUUGGGGGCAUUAGUAUUCAAUUGUCAGAGGUGAAAUUCUUGGAUUUAUUGAAGACUAACUACUGCGAAAGCAUUUGCCAAGGAUGUUUUCAUUAAUCAAGAACGAAAGUUAGGGGAUCGAAGACGAUCAGAUACCGUCGUAGUCUUAACCAUAAACCUAUGCCGACUA
rnacentral:rRNA from 1 species